GCCUUCAAGACUGGCUCUGAGAGCGAAGGCGGGGAGAAGAAGACGCUCAGAGUUUGUUAUCAAGAACUGGACUCACUCCUCCACAGUCUGCUGGAGCACAGAACUCCACUGUGUUGUCUGGGCAAGGACAGGGCAGAACAGGCCCUCCUUUGCUUUUUAGUUAGUUUAGCUGGCUGAGGCAGAGAAGCUCCCUGGACUGGUGCUCUUUCCCUUUUCUUGGAACCAUUCAAACCUGCUCCAGACGGGGUCCCGGAGCACCAGAGCUCGCACUCUGUGGCCUCCAGGGCCUGCUCUGGGCAGGGCCUUUCCCAGCGCCCGAGGCCCUGAUAACAGAGCGACCCCACAGGAGAGACUUUCUGAAUUUCUCAUCUCUUCCGAGCAGUGGCAUCCUUUGAAGAACUCCAGAAACAAGAAAGUUCAAUUAUUUGCGUAUAAAGAGGCAAAUUUCGUGGCACUGACUGAUUUUCACCAUCCAAGCAGAAGAGAGGCUCAAAAGGGCACUACACUUUGGACAGUUAAUGACAUAUUCAAGGAUGACAAGCCAAGUGUGAAUUGCCAUGCUAGCAAGGUCCCAGCAUGGGAGGCUGGGAGAAGACACAGGUGGGACAGGUGACCCCAGCUGACCAAAGGGAUAUUCCAGACCAUAUGACAUCAUACUUAGGAUAUAAGGAAUUAAAGAACACAUGGUGAAAUCAGCAAGACAUCCAGACUGAGACAGAAAAUAGUCAACCCCACAUUAGGAAGAGAGAAGCACCCUGAACAUGGUCACAGAAUGGGGUUACUUUUAAAAUGUCUUGAAAACAUAAAAAAUUCUGUCCACAUGGGAGCCCAUAUGUAUUUACUUAAGGUUCAAAUGGGUCAGUUUAGGGCAACAUGUACAUGGACCUCAGCAGUGACCUAACUCUGACUUCUUGAGAGCAUGGUUUCAUUAAUUCCAGAUGCAUUUAGAAAUUAAAAUUUGAACUUUUACCAGUUCCCAUGAAAGAAAAAUCAUAUAUCCAUGUCACCUGAGCAAGUUAGCCAAAAUGAACACUUGUUAAAUACAUCAAGUAUCACAGAAAAAUAUUUGCGUUUUGUUAACCUUCACUUGAUAUUAAACAUGGAUGUGUUUAAUGUGGAAGCCUGAAAAAUAUACAGAUAUUUGUUUCUUCUGACGCCAGUGCUAGUCAUAAACAAGGAAUUAAAAAUGUUUUCAUUAACUUUACUCUUAUGCUGAUCACCUAUGAAAAAGGUUCUCUGUCUUUAUAUGGCUUGUAUGUUUUUAUUCAUUAUGUUAAAGCUCAGCUGUUCACACUUCAGGCGUAGGAUUCUCUGUUCAUAUUAUGUAUCUUAGUCCACAGUUUGCUUUGAAACAGUGAAUUUGGCUGGGACUAAUAGUACUGUCUGAACUUUGCAGCCUAUUUAUCAGUCAGAUUCAUCAAUUUAUUCUCCUAUGAGCAGUGGUAGGUAAACUUCCACUAAUUGUUGUCCCACACAUAAUUGCUUUGUGUAAGAAAUGUUAGGCAAGUAUUCAGGGAAGUUCACUUGGUCAGUGCAUUCAAGAAGGACCUUUUUGUAAUUUUAAUUUAGUACCUCCCAAAUGCUUUAAGCUACUGAACCAGGGUCACAGCCACACUGCACCCUAUUCACAUUCUGACUUUCCCUGUUUUGAGCAUAUGGGUGAGCAUUUAGAAUUUAAGCUUCUGUAAAACAUUUUGAGAACAAAGCCGUACUUAAGCAAUUCUGAUGACAAAAGGAUUAUACUUUAGAUAGAAAAACUGAAUACAAAGUAUUGCUGACAACAAUGAGUUUCCUCAUUGCUAUACCUUGUUCCGUCUAACCCAAUCUACCCCACUGUGGUAUAUGUUUAUAAUUUCCUUCUAAACAGUCCAUAUUUGACAUAUGACUCUGCUGCAGGGAAUGUAAAAAUCCAAAUAAAAAUCCUUAACAAACAUUACUUCUUUCUUCCAAAAAAGGAUUGGAAGAUAAAGUACCUAAUUCCAAUGCUACAAAAUAAAAGUUUGAUUUUUAAAAUAUUGAAGAAUAAAAAUAUCACAACUAAGGUGAAAGACAGUAAGAGUAAGGA